GGGGCUGAUUGGCUUCGACAGGAGUCAUAUUGCUUGGGUUGCAUGCCGGCUGUAUGCCGUAAAACUACGCAAAUAAUAAACGCAAAUAAUUCAAAUUAUGCUCCUGCUUACGCGAAAGUAGCGUGAGUUAACUAACUUUUUGGAGCGGGCUUUAUCAAUAAUUCUAGCGUAUUGGUUAAGCCCUCAUUGCUGCUAGAUGCUUUUGCAAAACGCCUGAUUUGCAAAAAAAGACUUUGGCUGCUUGUAUAUCUUGAUUUGGGGAUUGGGUAGGGUAUACAAAAAGACUUUUCAAUCUCAUCUAAGCAUGUAGACACUCUUGUUGGGUAUGGUUUUUGGACUGGGGUUCGAUUCCCCACAGCUCCACCA
rnacentral:tmRNA from 1 species